GACGAACGCUGGCGGCGUGCUUAACACAUGCAAGUCGAACGGAAAGGCCCUGCUUUUGUGGGGUGCUCGAGUGGCGAACGGGUGAGUAACACGUGAGUAACCUGCCCUUGACUUUGGGAUAACUUCAGGAAACUGGGGCUAAUACCGGAUAGGAGCUCCUGCUGCAUGGUGGGGGUUGGAAAGUUUCGGCGGUUGGGGAUGGACUCGCGGCUUAUCAGCUUGUUGGUGGGGUAGUGGCUUACCAAGGCUUUGACGGGUAGCCGGCCUGAGAGGGUGACCGGCCACAUUGGGACUGAGAUACGGCCCAGACUCCUACGGGAGGCAGCAGUGGGGAAUAUUGCACAAUGGGCGGAAGCCUGAUGCAGCAACGCCGCGUGCGGGAUGACGGCCUUCGGGUUGUAAACCGCUUUCGCCUGUGACGAAGCGUGAGUGACGGUAAUGGGUAAAGAAGCACCGGCUAACUACGUGCCAGCAGCCGCGGUGAUACGUAGGGUGCGAGCGUUGUCCGGAUUUAUUGGGCGUAAAGGGCUCGUAGGUGGUUGAUCGCGUCGGAAGUGUAAUCUUGGGGCUUAACCCUGAGCGUGCUUUCGAUACGGGUUGACUUGAGGAAGGUAGGGGAGAAUGGAAUUCCUGGUGGAGCGGUGGAAUGCGCAGAUAUCAGGAGGAACACCAGUGGCGAAGGCGGUUCUCUGGGCCUUUCCUGACGCUGAGGAGCGAAAGCGUGGGGAGCGAACAGGCUUAGAUACCCUGGUAGUCCACGCUGUAAACGGUGGGUACUAGGUGUGGGGUCCAUUCCACGGGUUCCGUGCCGUAGCUAACGCUUUAAGUACCCCGCCUGGGGAGUACGGCCGCAAGGCUAAAACUCAAAGGAAUUGACGGGGCCCCGCACAAGCGGCGGAGCAUGCGGAUUAAUUCGAUGCAACGCGUAGAACCUUACCUGGGUUUGACAUGGAUCGGGAGUGCUCAGAGAUGGGUGUGCCUCUUUUGGGGUCGGUUCACAGGUAGUGCAUGCCUGUCGUCAGCUCGUGUCGUGAGAUGUUGGGUUAAGUCCCGCAACGAGCGCAACCCUUGUUCACUGUUGCCAGCACGUUAUGGUGGGGACUCAGUGGAGACCGCCGGGGUCAACUCGGAGGAAGGUGGGGAUGACGUCAAGUCAUCAUGCCCCUUAUGUCCAGGGCUUCACGCAUGCUACAAUGGCUGGUACAGAGAGUGGCGAGCCUGUGAGGGUGAGCGAAUCUCGGAAAGCCGGUCUCAGUUCGGAUUGGGGUCUGCAACUCGACCUCAUGAAGUCGGAGUCGCUAGUAAUCGCAGAUCAGCAACGCUGCGGUGAAUACGUUCCCGGGGCU
rnacentral:rRNA from 1 species